rnacentral:rRNA from 1 species
CAACCCUUGACAUCCUGUGCUACAUCCAGAGAUGGAUGGUUCCCUUCGGGGACGCAGUGACAGGUGCUGCAUGGCUGUCGUCAGCUCGUGUCGUGAGAUGUUCGGUUAAGUCCGGCAACGAGCGCAACCCACGUCCUUAGUUGCCAGCAGUUCGGCUGGGCACUCUAAGGAAACUGCCCGUGAUAAGCGGGAGGAAGGUGUGGAUGACGUCAAGUCCUCAUGGCCCUUACGGGUUGGGCUACACACGUGCUACAAUGGUAGUGACAAUGGGUUAAUCCCAAAAAGCUAUCUCAGUUCGGAUUGUCGUCUGCAACUCGACGGCAUGAAGUCGGAAUCGCUAGUAAUCGCGUAACAGCAUGACGCGGUGAAUACGUUCCC